ACGGAAGGCAGCAGUGGGGAAUAUUGCACAAUGGGCGAAAGCCUGAUGCAGCGACGCCGCGUGAGUGAAGAAGUAUCUCGGUAUGUAAAGCUCUAUCAGCAGGGAAGAAAAUGACGGUACCUGACUAAGAAGCCCCGGCUAACUACGUGCCAGCAGCCGCGGUAAUACGUAGGGGGCAAGCGUUAUCCGGAUUUACUGGGUGUAAAGGGAGCGUAGACGGUUUGGCAAGUCUGAAGUGAAAUGCGGGGGCUCAACUCCUGAACUGCUUUGGAAACUGUCGAACUAGAGUGCAGGAGAGGUAAGUGGAAUUCCUAGUGUAGCGGUGAAAUGCGUAGAUAUUAGGAGGAACACCAGUGGCGAAGGCGGCUUACCGGACUGUAACUGACGUUGAGGCUCGAAAGCGUGGGGAGCAAACAGGAUUAGAUACCCUGGUA
rnacentral:rRNA from 1 species